GUUCUGGUGGUCUAGGGGUAUGAUUCAUCCUUAGGGAGAUACACAGUCAUCUGUGAGCUCCAGAUGGAUGAGGUCCCGCGUUCGAAUCGCGGCCAGAACC